CAAGAAACCCAUAGGCAAUCCCAAGGAUGGCAAAGACAACUACAAAGACGACUACCAAGGCAAAGCAAGCCUCCAUGGAUGCAGGGAAGCAGUCCAGUAUGCCCCACCCAUAGCAGCAGUUGCGGCAUCCAGCCAUGCACGGGUCAUUGUUAUUGAAAGACGAGCAAUGUAGUACCAGCCCGAAGAAUCCCAGCAGCACAAAG
rnacentral:misc_RNA from 1 species